CAGGAUGAACGCUGGCGGCGUGCCUAACACAUGCAAGUCGAGCGAUUCUCUUCGGAGAAGAGCGGCGGACGGGUGAGUAACGCGUGGGUAACCUGCCUCAUACACAUGGAUAACAUACCGAAAGGUAUGCUAAUACAGGAUAAUAUAAGAGAUUCACAUGGAUUUCUUAUCAAAGCUCCGGCGGUAUGAGAUGGACCCGCGUCUGAUUAGCUAGUUGGUAAGGUGACGGCUUACCAAGGCGACGAUCAGUAGCCGACCUGAGAGGGUGAUCGGCCACAUUGGAACUGAGACACGGUCCAAACUCCUACGGGAGGCAGCAGUGGGGAAUAUUGCACAAUGGGCGAAAGCCUGAUGCCAGCAACGCCGUGUGAGUGAUGAAGGCCUUCGGGUCGUAAAACUCUGUCCUCAAGGAAGAUAAUGACGGUACUUGAGGAGGAAGCCCCGGCUAACUACGUGCCAGCAGCCGC
rnacentral:rRNA from 1 species